GAAAAUUGUCAACCACUCCUUCCUUAGGGGGUAAAAGCAACAUUCGGCACUAGGGGCAGGUCAAGGCGAGGCAGUCACGUGUUGGGCUCCUGGGCCAAUGGGGGACCCCGGGAGGACUCCGCACCCACCUCUCCCCAGCACCAGGCUCGCCUCUUUAGCUCUUAUAAGGCUGGCCCCCCAUCGCCAGGCGCAAGAAGCCACACCUGGACCAGACUCCAGGCGAGCCCCUCUCCAUGAAGGCAAACACAUACCUGGAAAAUGCCAUGAGACACUGACUCAGGUUAUCACUCUGAAAAUGAUGCCAUAUUGCAGGCACAACAGCACAUACCUGUAACCACAGCUACUCCGAAGGCUGAGGCGGGAGGAUUGCAAGUCCAAGGCCAGUCUUGGUGACAUAGUGAAAUACUGUCUCAAAACAAAAUUUUAAAAAAGGGCCUGGGAUGUAGCUCAGUGGUAGAGUGCUUGCCUAGCUUGUGCAAGGCCCUGGGUUCUAUUCUCAGAACCAAGAAAAAAUUAAUUAAAAAUAAAAAUAAUCCAUAAAUAAUCUGGGCUCCAAGGGGAGCCAUGAACAUGCAUUUUGGGCUGCCUGGAACCAGUCCCGAUCUGACACUUAGUAGCUAUGUGGCCAAGGGAGUGCUGUCAGCUCUGAGAGCCUCAGUGUCCUCAUCUGUAAGACGAGGGCAGGCAGAGUGGUGCCUAACUCUUAAGUGACUGUGAGUCAGGUGAAGAAACCAUGGCAAAGGGCGGAGCAUCCAGAGUCCCAGCGCUUCGCCAGUGGUGGCCGUGGCUAGGGUGGGCCCAAGGAGCUGGGUACAGAGGAAGACAGCUUGGGGACACUCUUUGGCAGCCUUUGCCCUCCCUGGGAGCCCAGGGUGACAGGAACUGCAGGAACGCUUGUCUCUAGGUCCCUCCCAGGACACCUCCCAGGGCUGAGCUCCUGGGACAUGGCCUAGGGGGUCUAGGGCAGCCUCGCCUGCCAGCCCUCUUCUUUCCCUGGCUUCCCCCCGCCCCCUGGUUUCGACCUCAAACUGCAUUCCCAGGGUUUGCUCCAAAGCCAGAGCACCCUUCCCUGGGGAGGAAGUGGGGAGCGUGUGAGGCUGCUGAACUCGGUGUGGGUGAUGGGCAGAGGACGCUCUGGGAACAGAGACCCAGGGCAGCUGUGCACAGAGGGGACAUGAGGAGGGGCCCAGACAGCAGCUCCACAGCCAGCUUCCACAUCUUGUCCCGACCGAGGGCUGCAGGCCUUCAUCUCUGCCUCCUUGCUGCUCUUCCUGCCUCUACCCUACAUGCGCUAAUAAACGGGCACUGCAGCCGUUUGUUCUGGCUUAUUUAUCACAAGCUUCAGAUUGCUGGCCCUUGACGUCCACCUCAUCUGGCCUUCACAAACAAGGCCCAGAGAAGUGAAGACCCUGAUCCUACAUCACACAGCCAGUUAAUUCUAGAGGUGUGAGCAGGGCAUGUCUUCUUCAUUCUUUCCAAAUCUGUGAUGGAAACUGGCCCUGGAGGCCAAGGCGAGCAGAGGCUGGAGAGCUCACACAUAUGUGUAGGAGUCGAGGCCAGGGUGGUGGCCAUGCGACCAGGUGUGAGCCUGGGCCUUAGGCUUGCUCAGAGCCCUGGCCUCUGUCCUCCCAGACUGCAGGCCAUCUGGCUCACAGAUGUGGCCCAUUCCCAUUCCCUCAUGUUUCUUGGAAACAAGCAAGGACAGAAGAGCCCACUAGGCUUUUGCAGUGACUGUAACAAUGUGAGCAUUGUCUCAGGGUCACCUGGCCAGCCACUGCCCAUGCUCAGGGGCAGCUGGACUGAGCACACAGAGCCUGGGUCCCAGUCUGCUCCGGCACUUCUCAGCAGGUGACCCUACCAGGCAAAGGCAGAUGCACAUCCUCUCUGACUCUGGGCGGGGUGCUCAGGUGACAGCUCCCCAGACCUCUGGGGAUUGGUUUUUGGACCCCAAAUGGCUCCUUUUUUUUUUAUUUUUUGGUACAGGGGAUCAAACUCCUUGAGGUCCUUGAGCUUGCACAGCAGGUGGCGAAACCACUGAGCUAAAUCCCUGGCUAAUGGCUCCUUAUAUACAAGCCCAGGGGGGAUUUCAUGCCAGACUGGUUCUUUAGUCAGGAACUUCUGCUGCUCUCGGAUCUAGAGUUUCUCUGAAGACCUCCUUGAGAGCCAAACUGGUAUAGCAGUGACAGUGGCUGCUCCGGCGUGAGGGUCCCCUUCCACAGGGCCUGGAAAAUCUCAGGGAGUUCUGGGCCAGCAGUGGCUGGGCCCCUCCUCGGUCUCUCCACGCCUGGCAGCCCCAUCUGGGUCCUCAGAGACCAGGGCCCUGGCCAGAGAGCAGCCCCGCAUCCCUCUGCCAGGCAGGAUCUCUGUCCCUUUCAGGGAAGGGCACCGGCUGGUGUUGGAGGAGCGGAAGCCCAGAGCAGGAACCUCCCAGGGAGGGAGUGGGCGGCAGGCAGCAGAACUGUGAGUGUCCCCCAGCUCCUCCACACACGCCUGCUUCAGGCAGCUCCCGGAGUAUCUGGGAACCUGGGGACCCCCCCCCCCAUGCUGACCCUCACCAGGCCUCAGAACAGCGAGGAAAAGGAAGGCCCAGGUUGAACGGUGGUAAUGUGGGCAAUUCUGGGCCUUUGCAGGCUGAGCAAUGAAACCAAAGAAAGGAGAACUGAUCAGGAGCUGAGAGUCUCUGCCUCCCCACAUUCCUGAUGAAAGACCCAUGCAAGCCUGUGUGAUGUGAUGAGUGAGCAGCUUGCAGAAGAUGGAGGGAACGGUAGCAAUCUUCCCUAGAAAGAGUGAAGAGAGCCAGACCCGGAGACAGGAGGCCCUGGGACAAAUCACAGCCUCUCUGAGCCUGCUGAAGGUGCCUGGGAGGAGGAGACCGUGCCCAUGGAACCAACGUGACCUCUGGGGUUUCUUCAUCACAACACCCUUUCCUGAGCCCUGAGCCUGUGCCAGGCCAGUUGAUGAGCUGAGGACAGCGAUGAAAGACCCAUUGCCCUUGCUCCUGUGGUUCAUAGGGGUCAGUCUCUGGGGACUGGGGCUUGGGCCCUGGGGCUUCCCUGGCUUUUGCAGGAGUGGCCCCAGCAAAAUCUCUUCUCCACAGGGAUUGGAUAUUUCCAUCCAGAGGAGCUGUAGCAAGAACCCAACCCGACCCUGACGUCAGACAGCCCCCAGUACCCAUCCUGCCCCACUCCCUUUCCAGCUGGAUCACUGUGGUCAAAUGACAGCAUCUUCACGCCUAUUUCCCCUUCUCCCAAACAGGGCUGCGAAAGCUCCCGCUUCAUAGGGCCAACAGGAUUGAUCAUCAUUGUCCAUACUCUCAUCGGACAGAGGGAAAAAUGAAAGCCCAGAGAAGAAAGGGGCUCAGACAGGGUCACAGCAGGAGUUGGGAGUUAAGUCAGAAGCAGAGCUUCCAGACAGAAGACAGAGGAUCCUGGGCUGGCUGGCGACAUUUCCUGAAGACUUGGGGCAAGGGAGGGGGAAAUGGCAGUCCCCUGGGGUCAGCCUUCCAGGCUGCCAGAAAGCCCUCCCUGAACCUCCAGGUAAAAGGUCCACCCGGCUCAGCCUCAUCCUUUCAUAGAAGGGGAAACAGAGAAAAGUGAAGAAAUAGUGGUGCCAACUGGCAACAGAACCUGGGACUCCAACCGACCACCUGUCUCAUCUUCUGACUGGGGACCCAGAGCACGAAAGAGCCUCCGUGGGGUAAGUGAGACAGGAGCUCUGUGGACCCCCUGCUCAGGGAGGCCCUCACUGGAAGGAGGCAGGGGUUGGGACAAGUGCCAUCGGCCAUCCAAGCAAGUAUGCAUGACCCAAAGGAAGCGUUCCAGGGGCUGAAGAGCCAGGAACAGUCCGCCCUCCACAUCUCUCCUUCCACCCCACCAACUGUGCACUUCCUCCUCCAAGGAGCCUUCCCAGCUCCCCCAGGGACAGGACCUCUUUGUCUUCCAAGCCUUUGUCAGUCCUUUCAUGAGCUCUCCUUGUCCUACUUGGCUCUGUGUCUAUCCCCAUUCCCUGCUCAGAGCAGUUUCUGGUUUUGGUUUGGUUUGGUUUGGUUGGUUGGCUUGUUGGUUGGUUGGUAUUAUGGAUCAAACCCAGGGCUUCCACACUGAGCUAUAUCUGCAGCUCUUUUUUAUUUUUAUUCUGAGACAGGGUCUUGCUAAUUUGCUAAGUUGCCCAGGCUGGGUUCAAACUUUCUAUCCUCCUCCCCCAAUCUCCCAGAGUGCGAGGAUUACAGGUGUGGGACAGGGCAUUUUGCUUCUACCUCAGCCUGACUACCAGGCUCAGCCCCAUCUCCCUGGGCACAGAAGAGGCACUUGGUUUGCUCAAUGACCAGGUGUAAUGAUAAGACCCUGUCCUAAACCCAAAGGACUGGGGAACUGGUCCGGGAGGAGAGACCCAGUGUGGAGGUUGAUGGAGGGGGUGUGGAAUUGUUUACUCUGAGCUAAGAAACCCAGCACAGCUCCUUGCUCUGUGGCCUCAGAAAACACCCCUGCAGUGGAGCCUUAAGGACGCACAGGGAUUGACACAAGAAACCAUUCGAGAAGUGGCCAUUUUGGUUCUAGUCAUCACCUGUGUGAUUGCUCUGGUACUGAGGAGCAGAACUAGGCAGCUCAGACCGCAGCCAUAGAGGAAUUACAGCUUCUGUCCAGUGUCACUUUCUCCUGGAGAAGCAUGGCCACCUCUGCUGCCCUGUUCCCACGGCAGAGUCAGCUGUCUGCUGUCUGUGCGCCCUUCACCCUCGAGGUGAGGUAGAAACGUCCUGAGCUCGCCUUGGAGGUGAUCACUGUCCUGCCUCACCUGCUAUUGGAUUCAGAUGCGAUGGGAUGGGGCAUUGUUUCCCAAACCCACCCCUUCAGACGCCUCCUUUUUUAUUUGUGCACACAAUCAUAGUAUUUAAAAAUAUAAGAUGAGUCCUCCAAGUACUUAAAUAGAAACAGUUAUGAUAAAAUGAAAACUAUAGCACAGUCCAAAGGUAGAAAUAAAUACAGUGAAAAUGAAACAACGUGGUUAGGCUUUAACCUAACAUGUGGCUUGCAGGAUCCUGAGCAGUAAGAGGGGUCAGGAAGGUGUCAGCCCACGCAGCAUGGAAAGCGAAGUGACACAGAACACCAGAGCCACUCUGUCCUCAAGUGACUCAGUGCUGAGACCACCGGCUCCCACACCUCAGGGGUCAAGCCGAGCACCUCCUCUCCCGGGUGCUGGAGCCAGGGGAGCGGCAUGCACAGGUCGUCCACCUGGCCAAUCGAGUCCAGGGUUAGAACUGCUGCCAAGCCAGGGCCAGUUUGAAAGGUUUCUUUUUCUCUCCUCCCCUCCCUCCCCCUCCCCCUUCUUCUCCUCUUCUUCCUCCUCUUUCUUCUUUUUCUUUUCUUUUUUUUUUGAAUGGUCCUGGGCAUUGAACCCAGGAUCUUCACACUAAGCU